GUGCCAGCAGCCGCGGUAAUACGGAAGGUCCGGGCGUUAUCCGGAUUUAUUGGGUUUAAAGGGAGCGCAGGCUGCCUGUUAAGCGUGACGUGAAAUGCCGCGACUCAACCGUGGAAGUGCGUCGCGAACUGGCGGGCUUGAGUGUGCACGAGGAAGGCGGAAUUCGUGGUGUAGCGGUGAAAUGCUUAGAUAUCACGAAGAACUCCGAUUGCGAAGGCAGCCUUCCAGGUCAUUACUGACGCUAAUGCUCGAAGGUGCGGGUAUCGAACAGGAUUAGAUACCCUGGUAGUCCGCACGGUAAACGAUGGAUGCCCGCUGUUGGCGAUAUACAGUCAGCGGCCAAGCGAAAGCGUUAAGCAUCCCACCUGGGGAGUACGCCGGCAACGGUGAAACUCAAAGGAAUUGACGGGGGCCCGCACAAGCGGAGGAACAUGUGGUUUAAUUCGAUGAUACGCGAGGAACCUUACCCGGGCUUGAACUGCAGCAGACGGAUCUAGAGAUAGUGACUCCCUUCGGGGCUGCUGUGGAGGUGCUGCAUGGUUGUCGUCAGCUCGUGCCGUGAGGUGUCGGCUUAAGUGCCAUAACGAGCGCAACCCUUUUCAUUAGUUGCCAUCAGGUAAUGCUGGGCACUCUGGUGAUACUGCCACCGUAAGGUGUGAGGAAGGUGGGGAUGACGUCAAAUCAGCACGGCCCUUACGUCCGGGGCUACACACGUGUUACAAUGGGUGGUACAGAGAGUUGGGUGUACGCAAGUACAUUCUAAUCAAGAAAGCCAUCCUCAGUUCGGAUUGGGGUCUGCAACCCGACCCCAUGAAGCUGGAUUCGCUAGUAAUCGCGCAUCAGCCAUGGCGCGGUGAAUACGUUCCCGGGCCUUGUACACACCGCCCGU
rnacentral:rRNA from 1 species